rnacentral:rRNA from 1 species
AGCCACAAACAAGUAUUAAAGGCAACGCCUGCCCAGUGAAUAAUUAAACGGCCGCGGUACCCUAACCGUGCAAAGGUAGCAUAAUCAUUUGUCUAUUAAUUGUAGACCUGUAUGAAAGGCAAAAUGAGGGUUUAACUGUCUCUUAUAGUAAAUCAAUUAAACUGAUCUUCUAGUAAAAAAGCUAAAAUAUCCUCAUAAGACCAGAAGACCCUGUGAAGCUUAAACUAAAUUAUUAAAUCCCAUAAUAACUACUUUCGGUUGGGGCGACCUUGGAAAAAAAAAGAACUUCCAAACACAGUGACUAUAAACCACAUUACACGGCCCACAAGCCUAUAAACUGACCCAGCAUAGCUGAUAAUUGAACCAAGUUACUCCAGGGAUAACAGCGCCAUCUUCUUCAAGAGUCCAUAUCAAAAAGAAGGUUUACGACCUCGAUGUUGGAUCAGGACAUCCUAAUGGUGCAGCCGCUAUUAAGGGUUCGUUUGUUCAACGAUUAACAGUCCUACGUGAUCU